rnacentral:rRNA from 1 species
GGCAGCACAGGGAGCUUGCUCCCGGGUGGCGAGUGGCGCACGGGUGAGUAAUACAUCGGAACGUGUCCUGUUGUGGGGGAUAACUGCUCGAAAGGGUGGCUAAUACCGCAUGAGACCUGAGGGUGAAAGCGGGGGAUCGCAAGACCUCGCGCAAUUGGAGCGGCCGAUGCCCGAUUAGCUAGUUGGUGAGGUAAGGGCUCACCAAGGCGACGAUCGGUAGCUGGUCUGAGAGGACGACCAGCCACACUGGGACUGAGACACGGCCCAGACUCCUACGGGAGGCAGCAGUGGGGAAUUUUGGACAAUGGGGGCAACCCUGAUCCAGCCAUGCCGCGUGCAGGAUGAAGGCCUUCGGGUUGUAAACUGCUUUUGUCAGGGACGAAAAGGAUCGUGAUAAUACCAUGGUCUGCUGACGGUACCUGAAGAAUAAGCACCGGCUAACUACGUGCCAGCAGCCGCGGUAAUACGUAGGGUGCAAGCGUUAAUCGGAAUUACUGGGCGUAAAGCGUGCGCAGGCGGUUCUGUAAGACAGAUGUGGAAUCCCCGGGCUCAACCUGGGAAUUGCAUUUGUGACUGCAGGACUAGAGUUCAUCAGAGGGGGUGGAAUUCCAAGUGUAGCAGUGAAAUGCGUAGAUAUUUGGAAGAACA